UGCCAUGCCAGCGUGAGGGCUGUGUGUGGGCAGAGCAGCUUGCGGGACAAGGAGUCCCCGGGGUGUUUUCACCUGCUGUAACCUCAGCCUUUGCUGUCUCACUUAAACCUCUGCUUUUGGAUCUUCAGAGAAACCUUUGCAGCGCACUCUGCAGUGGGAGAAGUGGGAGAAACUAA
rnacentral:lncRNA from 1 species